GGUAACACUAGGAGGAGAGUCUUUACUAUGAAAAGUUUUGGGCAGGAUGUACUUGCUUCUUCUGUAAUUGCUUCUGGUAAAUAAACCUGGAAUCUACAGAUUCAUGGGACAUACUUCCUGAUUAACAUAAUGUGAAUUAUGUAACUAUAUGAGUAUGAAAUUGUGAUGUUCUAUAAUCUAAAUGGCUUUUUCUUUGUAAGUGAGCUGGGCUGGAAAUAUGUAUUUGGAAGUUGUCAUCAUAUUGAGGAUAUUGAAAGUCCUGACAUUGGAUGAGAAGUCCAACCAAAUGUAUAUAAACAGGAUAAACGAGGGCCAAGGACUGAACCUUGAGAUGCAACAUUAAAACGUCAGAGGGGGCCGGGCGCGGUGGCUCGUGCCUGUAAUCCCAGCACGUCGAGAGGGCGAGGUGGGCGGAUCACGAGGUCAGGAGAUGGAGAUGGUGAAACCCCGUCUCUACUAAAAAUACAAAAAAUUAGCCGGGCGCGGUGGUGGGCGCCUGUAAUCCCAGCUACUCAGGAGACUGAGGCAGGAGAAUGGCAUGAACCCGGGAGGCGGAGCUUGCAGUGAGCUGA
rnacentral:lncRNA from 1 species